GAUUAACCAAUCAGAGUACAUUUCUGCCUGGCACCAGAGACACUUGUUGGCUGCCAUGGCAACCCAGAAAGCAUCAUAGCAGAGAGGAGAGGAGGAAGUGGCUCGAUGUGUGUGUGCUGAUGUCAGACUGAAAAGAACAACUUGAUCCCCUUCAGCAUAAAGAGACAGGAAUGUCAAUACAUACAGAUCAAAGAUUUAUCUCUUAAGACUUAUUUCUAUAUAAAAUGAAUGUUAACCUCUGGAAUAUUUGUGGGAUGCUGUUUAAAUCACUGAAGUGCUCUAGAAUUAAUGCUCCACUCGUAUUUCUAUGAAUGCAAAAUGCAAUGUAUACCACCACAUAGAUUGUUCUUAUUUACUCAUGACCCACAGAACCAUUUAGUAAAUCUGCAGCUCUUAUCUGGCAAGUAUACUAGGCUCUGGGAGUGAUACACUUAUUGUUCUUAUGGUUAGCUUAAGCUAAUACUGAUAAACGACCUCUAACCAAGACUCACAUGUUUGUGCUCUGCAUUUCAUACUGUCCAAUUCACAAUAUGAGAAGCAGCCAUGUGGUCAAAUGAGAAGUGAACGUCUCACCUGCAAAGACUGCCAUCAUUAGUUGGUGUUAUAUCCCUUGAAGAAUGCUCAUCCAUCUGUGAGUCUCAGUUUCACUGUUAAAAGUAAGUCACAUAGCUGCUUCACUCACUUUAGAGGCACAAACCUGAAAAAAGAAACUGAUUUUCUCGUAAUUGUAACAUCAUGAUGCAGAUUAGGAAGUCUAAACACUGAUUAUCUUUCAUAACACAACAACAAAUAGAUUUGUGUCUGGGCAUAAGUGUUCGAUCCAUAACAGAUUGUUAGCUGACCUUGCAUGCAGAUAUCUGUUCAUGAAGGGAACUAAAUAAUCAACUCAAAUUACCAACAAUGGAAUUCAGCAUGUCCCUCUCACAGUGGAUCGUAUUCUGUCUGAGUUUGCUCUUCAUGCAGUUUUUUUCUCUCCAUACACCAAAACCUGCCGACACCUGAUUGGUCAUACUUAGACAAAAGGCGUUACCUAAAACUAGAAUAUUUUGAAAUGUUUGAUCCACAGCAGAUUGUUAGCUGCAAUUAUAUGCAGAUAUAUGUUCAUAAAGAUGUAGGGCUCUAUUUUCGUGCCUCGCCGGCAGCGUGGUGCAGGUGCAGCGUAAGUCAGGUCCGCCGCGCAGAUAAGUCACUUCCCCCCUACCGCGCCACCACGCCCAGCUUGGCGGACCUCAGUGUGCCAAAAUACCAAACUGGCUGUGCGUCGGGCUCCGCCAGACAAAAAUACCACUGCUCGGGGUGCGCCACCCUCCGCCGCACCGCCAGCGGGCACGGAAAUAGAGCCCAUGUAGUUUAUCUUCAGAUUACCACUAAUCAGCUGGUUUAUUGUGCAUUAUAACAUAUUGGAUCAUAUUGUGUCCUCUUGUGGCGUUGUAUUAGAUCUUAUUGUGUCAUAGCAUGUUGUAGCUGCUGUGUUGUAUUGUAUCCUAUUGUGUCUUAUCGAGGCGCAUUGUGUAGUAUCAUAUUGUACUAUACACUCACCGGCCACUUUAUUAGGUACACCUGUCCAACUGCUCGUUAACACUUAAUUUCUAAUCAGCCAAUCACAUGGCGGCAACUUAGUGCAUUUAGGCAUGUAGACAUGGUCAAGAUAAUCUCCUGCAGUUCAAACCGAGCAUCAGUAUGGGGAAGAAAGGUGAUUUGAGUGACUUUGAACGUGGCAUGGUUGUUGGUGCCAGAAGGGCUGGUCUGAGUAUUUCAGAAACUGCUGAUCUACUGGGAUUUUCACGCACAACCAUCUCUAGGGUUUACAGAGAAUGGUCCGAAAAAGAAAAAAUAUCCAGUGAGCGGCAGUUCUGUGGGCGGAAAUGCCUUGUUGAUGCCAGAGGUCAGAGGAGAAUGGCCAGACUGGUUCGAGCUGAUAGAAAGGCAACAGUGACUCAAAUAACCACCCGUUACAACCAAGGUAGGCAGAAGAGCAUCUCUGAAUGCACAGUACGUCGAACUUUGAGGCAGAUGGGCUACAGCAGCAGAAGACCACGCCGGGUGCCAAUCCUUUCAGCUAAGAACAGGAAACUGAGGCUACAAUUUGCACAAGCUCAUCGAAAUUGGACAAUAGAAGAUUGGAAAAACGUUGCCUGGUCUGAUGAGUCUCAAUUUCUGCUGCGACAUUUGGAUGGUAGGGUCAGAAUUUGGCGUCAACAACAUGAAAGCAUGGAUCCAUCCUGCCUUGUAUCAACGGUUCAGGCUGGUGGUGGUGGUGUCAUGGUGUGGGGAAUAUUUUCUUGGCACUCUUUGGGCCCCUUGGUACCAAUUGAGCAUCGUUGCAACGCCACAGCCUACCUGAGUAUUGUUGCUGACCAUGUCCAUCCCUUUAUGACCACAAUGUACCCAACUUCUGAUGGCUACUUUCAGCAGGAUAAUGCGCCAUGUCAUAAAGCUGGAAUCAUCUCAGACUGGUUUCUUGAACAUGACAAUGAGUUCACUGUAGUCAAAUGGCCUCCACAGUCACCAGAUCUCAAUCCAAUAGAGCAUCUUUGGGAUGUGGUGGAACGGGAGAUUCGCAUCAUGGAUGUGCAGCCGACAAAUCUGCGGCAACUGUGUGAUGCCAUCAUGUCAAUAUGGACCAAGCUCUCUGAGGAAUGCUUCCAGCACCUUGUUGAAUCUAUGCCACGAAGAAUUGAGGCAGUUCUGAAGGCAAAAGGGGGUCCAACCCGUUACUAGCAUGGUGUACCUAAUAAAGUGGCCGGUGAGUGUAUACUGUAGUAUCUUAGCAUAGCACAGGGUAUCAUAUUGGUCGUUUAAUUUCAUAUACCGUGUUCUAUCGUACUGUAUUCUGUUGUAAAAUAUAGUAUAGUAUCAUAUUAUACCAUAUCGUACUGUGACAUAUUGUCGCGUGUUGUGUCAUUAUAGAUUGUAUCUCGCUAACUGACAGCUCAA
rnacentral:lncRNA from 1 species